rnacentral:sRNA from 1 species
GCUGUCGUCGAUCCUGAAAUUCUGCGUUUAAUUUAUGCAGGAAAUCAAUUCUGCUUCCAGAUAUAUGCGGGGUGUCGUCAGGGAACCAACAAAAGAGGAAAGCGGAACAGCCAUGCAUCCGAUAUCCUAACUCCCCCCUUAUUGCAAAUUUGCAAGACACUCGAGCAAUAUUAUUGCCACUUCACCACCGGCGCAGAAACCCUGCAAAUUGGGUCUUCAUGAUUGGUGUGAGUCCGCAAGAUGGGGCUCAGCAACCUGACCAGCUGCCCACUAGCCCGCGCUCUAGUGCCUGGAAUGUGCUUGAAUUUUGGGCCUUUGCUCAGUCAGGCAGCAUUUCUUUGGGGGCCAUCUCGGUGAUACCUGCCGGUCUUAGUUGUCUGAAAAGAUGUUGUGAAAUCCUGCUGCUGCAGGGUCCCUGGGACAACAGGCAAGCCGUCAACAACGGAUGGGAGAUUGUUUGUCUACGAAAGCUGUC